rnacentral:rRNA from 1 species
AGAGUUUGAUCCUGGCUCAGGAUGAACGCUAGCGGCAGGCCUAACACAUGCAAGUCGAGGGGUAACAGAGAGAAGCUUGCUUCUUUGCUGACGACCGGCGCACGGGUGCGUAACGCGUAUACAAUCUACCUUGUACUGGGGGAUAGCCUUUAGAAAUGAAGAUUAAUACCCCAUAGUAUGUUAAGUUCGCAUGGACCUAAUAUUAAAGGUUACGGUACAAGAUGAGUAUGCGUCCUAUUAGCUAGUUGGUAUGGUAACGGCAUACCAAGGCAACGAUAGGUAGGGGCCCUGAGAGGGGGAUCCCCCACACUGGUACUGAGACACGGACCAGACUCCUACGGGAGGCAGCAGUGAGGAAUAUUGGACAAUGGAGGCAACUCUGAUCCAGCCAUGCCGCGUGCAGGAAGACUGCCCUAUGGGUUGUAAACUGCUUUUAUACAGGAAGAAACAUCGCUACGUGUAGCGACUUGACGGUACUGUAAGAAUAAGGAUCGGCUAACUCCGUGCCAGCAGCCGCGGUAAUACGGAGGAUCCAAGCGUUAUCCGGAAUCAUUGGGUUUAAAGGGUCCGUAGGUGGAUAAUUAAGUCAGGGGUGAAAGUCUGCAGCUCAACUGUAGAAUUGCCUUUGAUACUGGUUAUCUUGAAUUAUUAUGAAGUAGUUAGAAUAUGUAGUGUAGCGGUGAAAUGCAUAGAUAUUACAUAGAAUACCAAUUGCGAAGGCAGAUUACUAAUAAUAUAUUGACACUGAUGGACGAAAGCGUAGGUAGCGAACGGGAUUAGAUACCCCGGUAGUCUACGCCGUAAACGAUGGAUACUAGCUGUUCGGAUUUAUCUGAGUGGCUAAGCGAAAGUGAUAAGUAUCCCACCUGGGGAGUACGUUCGCAAGAAUGAAACUCAAAGGAAUUGACGGGGGCCCGCACAA